rnacentral:guide_RNA from 1 species
AACAUAAAAUAUAAUGUGCUGCGAGAUC